ensembl:lincRNA
GUCCUUUUCAAGGUGUCCUGUGACAAAUACCCUUGGAAGCUGACACAGCAAAGCCAGCGGUGAGCGCCUGGCCUCAGGAGGUGCCAGGUUUCAGCUGUGGUGCAAGCAGGAGAGGGUGAGGAACACCUCGCAGUUUUGGGCCGCAGGGAAGGUCGCCCUGUUGGUGUCCCCCCACUCCCGCCCCAGGGGCAGGCUCAGCUAGCAGCCUCUGGCAGCGCGCACGGGCCAUGCCUCCCUCUGGUGUGCGCCGUGUUUAUCUUCCAAGCCAUAGGGAGACUGGCUGUCCGCCUAACUGAGCAGAGAUCAGAAAGAAUCCGGCCCCUGUGUGGUUAAAUAAAGACAGGCCCCUCCCCGCGUCCCAAGGCCUCUCCUACACCCGCUCUGCUUAUCUGCCCGUUUUAAUCCCAGCUGCACCCUCUGACCAGCCGAAGCCCAGGCCCUGGGAGACUUAUCCAGAGGGCUGGAAUUCGCCCAGGCACCCCUCUAGCUGGCCACUUGCGGACUCGAUUAUGCGCCUGACACUUCAACAGCCGAAGGGGGAGGCUGGGGGCUCACAGUCUCCAGCGCAGGCCCCCGGGUGCGGCAGUCAAGGGGAGGCCGACCAGCUCCCCCUUGAUCUAACAGGUCCGUGCUGGUUUCCCUUGGGACGUGGGUGUGCGGCCCAGCUGGCUCCCCUCCAGUCCUCCGGCCCUGCCCUCUUGGGGGUCCUGUCCAAGCGGUGCAAGGAGCCACAGGACCCUUCUAUUCCGACAGCCUGCUGCCUUUGCUGCCUGCGUCACCGUCCAGGGCCAUGUGUGGUGCUGAACUCAUGUUCUUCCAGACCCGGAACUCAGGUUCUUCCUCCAGACUGGAGCAACGGCUGUCAGCUCUGUCCCUGCUCGCUCAGCAUGACGAUCUCACGCAAUGGAAGGAACUCAGAAGAGGUUCCAGGUCCGGCACCCAGCAGCCACAAGCCUGGCGACACUGGCAAAGUGCUAACUCUCCCGUGGACUCAGUUUCCUCAUCUGUAAAGUGGGAAGUUAUCAUCCUUCUAGUUACAGAGCCAAUUGGUAGGACAACACCUGAGGCUGCUUCCCUUAGCAGUUACUUUGAAAGCUGCCUAUUACUAGUAGUUUUGUGAAUCACACUUUUCACCAUAAAUGUAAUUUAUUUCACUUGAAAUUUGAUUUUUGCAUUAUUCUGGGCAACAUGGUAUCCCUAUCAUGGGAAGCUUAAAUUAAAUGAAAAAUGAAAAACACUGAUGUCUUAAUAUUACUCUUCCCACUAAAAUGAGAAAUUAUCUCCUCAUUCAGAUUUUGAAUACAAAUGCUAGUCUAGCUUUUAAGUAGCACACACGUUGAUUUUCCUGCCUGGCCUUUGAGAAUAUUCACUAUAAAAUAAGGCUCUCUGUGAAGAGGUCUCCCCAAGUAAUAACCCUACAAUUUCCCUUCUUCUUGACAAUCCCAAAGAACCCUCAGCAUUCGUGCACACUUAUUCUAGAGGAAUAUGCCCUAUUUUGAUACAUGUUCCUCUGACCACGCCUGCAAAGAUAACAGUACUGAUUUUUCAAGCGAGCAAGAAGGGAAACUUACUUCCAUGAAUCUCAGGCUAAUGACUGCUCUCUCCUGACCAAGCCAACCUCUCAAAAUCUAACCCCACAGAUUCUUCUUUCAGCCAGUGUGUGCUUUACCAUAAAAGCCAGAAACCUUUCUGCUUCCUGUACUGCAGAAAGGGAUGCCAAUAUUUUCUUUAUUUUACCUCAAGUCAUCUUGUAAAUCCAUGGCAAAUUAGGUACGGAGAGUUAAAAAAGAAAUAAAAACCCGGGAA